AUGGCGACCUCUCUGGGACCCAACACCUACAACAGGCAGAACUGGGAGGAUGUGGACUUCCCCAUUCUGUGUCAGACGUGUCUUGGAGAAAACCCAUAUAUCCGAAUGACCAAAGAGAAGUAUGGGAAGGCAUGUAAAUCUGUGCUAGACCAUUCACAGUGUUUUGUUGGUGCCCCGGGGUCCGCAUGCGUUUCAAGAAAACUGAAGUGUGCCAAACUUGCAGUAAAUUGAAGAAUGUCUGUCAGACCUGCCUCUUGGACCUGGAGUACGGGCUGCCCAUCCAGGUUCGUGAUGCAGGAUUGUCUUUUAAGGAUGACAUGCCAAAGUCAGAUGUCAACAAAGAGUACUACACACAGAAUAUGAAGAGAGAAAUUUCUAACUCUGAUGGAACGCGGCCGGUUGGCUUGUUGGGGAAAGCCACCUCCACCAGUGACAUGUUGCUCAAGCUGGCCCGGACCACACCCUACUACAAGAGGAAUCGACCCCACAUUUGCUCCUUUUGGGUAAAAGGAGAAUGUAAGAGAGGAGCGGAAUGUCCAUACAGACAUGAGAAGCCAACAGAUCCAGAUGACCCCCUUGCUGAUCAGAACAUUAAAGACCGAUAUUACGGUACCAAUGACCCUGUGGCAGAUAAGCUUCUAAAGCGGGCUUCAACAAUGCCUCGUCUGGACCCACCAGAGGACAAGACUAUCACCACACUGUAUGUUGGUGGUCUGAGUGAUACCAUUACUGAGACUGAUCUAAGAAAUCACUUCUACCAGUUUGGGGAAAUUCGAACGAUCACUGUCGUGCAAAGACAGCAGUGCUCAUUCAUCCAGUUUGCCAGGAGGCAGGCUGCAGAGGUGGCUGCAGAGAAGUCAUUUAAUAUGUUGAUUGUCAAUGGCCGUAGACUCAACGUGAAAUGAGGAAGGUCCCAAGCAGCCAGAGGAAAAGAAAAAGAGAAGGAUGGAACCACAGACUCUGGGAUCAAGCUUGAGCCCGUUCCAGGACUGCCAGGAGCUCUUCCUCCUCCUCCUGCAGCAGCAGAAGAAGCCUCUGCCAACUACUUCAACCUCCCCCCGAGUGGUCCUCCAGCUGUGGUGAACAUUGCACUGCCACCACCCCUUGGUAUUGCCCCGCCUCCACCCCCAGGUUUUGGGCCACACAUGUUCCACCCAAUGGGACCACCCCCUCCUUUCAUGAGGGCUCCAGGACCAAUCCACUAUCCUCAGGACCCUCAGAGGAUGGGCGCUCAUGCCGGCAAACACAGCAGCCCCUAGCACAUUAUCACCACUCCGGGGCUUUACAAAAGA